GCUGGGCGUGGUGGCUCGCGCCUGUAAUCCCAGCACUUUGGGAGGCCGAGGCAGGUGGAUCACCAGAGGUCAGGAGUUUGAGACCAGCCUGGCCAACAUGGAGAAACCCUGUCUCUA
ensembl:misc_RNA Metazoa_SRP Metazoan signal recognition particle RNA